CAGUCGCCGCGGGAAUACGAAGGGUGCAAGCGUUAAUCGGAAUUACUGGGCGUAAAGCGUGCGUAGGCGGUGAGUUAAGUCUGCUGUGAAAUCCCCGGGCUCAACCUGGGAACUGCAUCUGUGACUGCAUAGCUAGAGUACGGUAGAGGGGGAUGGAAUUCCGCGUGUAGCAGUGAAAUGCGUAGAUAUGCGGAGGAACACCGAUGGCGAAAGCAAUCCCCUGGACCUGUACUGACGCUCAUGCACGAAAACGUGGGGAGCAAACAGGAUUAGAUACCCCAGUAGUCCCUGUCUCUUAUAC
rnacentral:rRNA from 1 species